CGAACGCUGGCGGCGUGCUUAACACAUGCAAGUCGAACGGAAAGGCCCUGCUUUUGUGGGGUGCUCGAGUGGCGAACGGGUGAGUAACACGUGAGUAACCUGCCCUUGACUUUGGGAUAACUUCAGGAAACUGGGGCUAAUACCGGAUAGGAGCUCCUGCUGCAUGGUGGGGGUUGGAAAGUUUCGGCGGUUGGGGAUGGACUCGCGGCUUAUCAGCUUGUUGGUGGGGUAGUGGCUUACCAAGGCUUUGACGGGUAGCCGGCCUGAGAGGGUGACCGGCCACAUUGGGACUGAGGGACGGCCCAGACUCCUACGGGAGGCAGCAGUGGGGAAUAUUGCACAAUGGGCGGAAGCCUGAUGCAGCAACGCCGCGUGCGGGAUGACGGCCUUCGGGUUGUAAACCGCUUUCGCCUGUGACGAAGCGUGAGUGACGGUAAUGGGUAAAGAAGCACCGGCUAACUACGUG
rnacentral:rRNA from 1 species